UAAAACUGUCGAAAAUUUGUU
rnacentral:piRNA from 1 species